rfam:Vittaforma corneae ATCC 50505 unplaced genomic scaffold supercont1.5, whole genome shotgun sequence.
GCGAGCAUAGCUUAGGGGUAGAGCAUCACGUUGUGGCCGUGAAGACACGGGUUCGAUUCCCGUUGUUCGCA